rnacentral:rRNA from 1 species
AUCUUGCGCAAUGGGCGAAAGCCUGACGCAGCCAUGCCGCGUGAAUUAUGAAGGUCUUAGGAAUGUAAAAUUCUUUCACCGGGGACGAUAAUGACGGUACCCGGAGAAGAAGACCCGGCUAACUUCGUGCCAGCAGCCGCGGUAAGACGAAGGGGGCUAGCUCUGAUCAGAAUUUCUGGGCGUAAAGGGCGCGUAGGCGGACAUUUAAGUCAGGGGUGAAAUCCCAGAGCUCAACUCUGGAACUGCCUUUGAUACUGGGUGUCUUGAGUGUGAGAGAGGUAUGUGGAACUCCGAGUGUAGAGGUGAAAUUCGUAGAUAUUCGGAAGAACACCAGUGGCGAAGGCGACAUACUGGCUCAUUACUGACGCUGAGGCGCGAAAGCGUGGGGAGCAAACA